GGAAGGGAUGUAUUUAUUAGAUUAAAAACCAAUGCCCUUCGGGGCUCUCUGGUGAUUCAUAAUAACUUCUCGAAUCGCACGGCCUUGCGCCGGCGAUGGUUCAUUCAAAUUUCUGCCCUAUCAACUUUCGACGGCUGGGUCUUGGCCAGCCGUGGUGACAACGGGUAACGGAGGGUUAGGGCUCGACCCCGGAGAAGGAGCCUGAGAAACGGCUACUACAUCCAAGGAAGGCAGCAGGCGCGCAAAUUACCCAAUCCCGACACGGGGAGGUGGUGACAAUAAAUACUGAUACAGGGCUCUUUCGGGUCUUGUAAUUGGAAUGAGUACAAUUUAAAUCCCUUAACGAGGAACAAUUGGAGGGCAAGUCUGGUGCCAGCAGCCGCGGUAAUUCCAGCUCCAAUAGCGUAUAUUAAAGUUGUUGAGGUUAAAAAGCUCGUAGUUGAACCUUGGGCCUAGCCGGCCGGUCCGCCUCACCGCGUGCACUGGCUCGGCUGGGUCUUUCCUUCUGGAGAACCGCAUGCCCUUCACUGGGUGUGCCGGGGAACCAGGACUUUUAC
rnacentral:rRNA from 1 species